rnacentral:rRNA from 1 species
GACGAACGCUGGCGGCGUGCUUAACACAUGCAAGUCGAACGAGCGGCGGACGGGUGAGUAAUGUCUGGGAAACUGCCUGAUGGAGGGGGAUAACUACUGGAAAAGGUAGCUAAUACCGCAAAACAUCAGAUGUGCGCAGAUGGGAUUAGCUAGGAGGUGGGGGAAUGGCUAACCUAGGCGACGAUCCCUAGCUGGUCUGAGAGGAUGACCAGCCACACUGGAACUGAGCCACGGUCCAGACUCCUACGGGAGGCAGCAGGGGGGAAUAUUGCACAAUGGGCGCAAGCCUGAUGCAGCCAUGCCGCGUGUGUGAAGAAGGCCUUCGGGUUGUAAAGCACUUUCAGCGGGGAGGCGUUACCCGCAGAAGAAGCACCGGCUAACUCCGUGCCAGCAGCCGCGGUAAUUC